UGGGGGAUAUUGCACAAUUGGCGAAAGCCUGAUGCAGCGACGCCGCGUGGGGGAUGAAGGCUUUCGGGUUGUAAACCUCUUUCGCUAUCGAACAAGGCCCGCUUAGGGUGGGUUGAGGGUAGGUGGAGAAGAAGCGCCGGCUAACUACGUGCCAGCAGCCGCGGUAAUACGUAGGGCGCGAGCGUUGUCCGGAAUUAUUGGGCGUAAAGGGCUUGUAGGCGGCUUGUUGCGCCUGCUGUGAAAACGCGGGGCUUAACUUCGCGCGUGCAGUGGGUACGGGCAGGCUUGAGUGUGGUAGGGGUGACUGGAAUUCCAGGUGUAGCGGUGGAAUGCGCAGAUAUCUGGAGGAACACCGAUGGCGAAGGCAGGUCACUGGGCCAUUACUGACGCUGAGGAGCGAAAGCAUGGGUAGCGAACAGG
rnacentral:rRNA from 1 species